AACAUUGGACAAUGGGGGCAACCCUGAUCCAGCCAUGCCGCGUGUGUGAAGUAGGUCUUCGGAUAGUAAAGCACUUUAAGUUGGGAGGAAGGGCCAUAGGUUAAUACCCUGAAGUUUUGACGCUACCAACAGAAUAAGCAUCGGCUAACUCUGUCCCAGCAGCCGCGGUAAUACAGAGGGUGCCAGCGUUAAUCGGAAUUACUGGGCGUAAAGCGCGCGUAGGUGGUUCAGUAAGAUGGGUGUGAAAUCCCCGGGCUUAACCUGGGAACUGCUUUCAUAACUGCUGAGCUAAAGUACGGUAGAGGGUAGUGGAAUUUCCUGUGUAGCGGUGAAAUGCGUAGAUAUAGGAAGGAACACCAGUGGCGAAGGCGACUACCUGGACUGAUACUGACACUGAGGUGCGAAAGCGUGGGGAGCAAAC
rnacentral:rRNA from 1 species